rnacentral:rRNA from 1 species
UACGUAGGGUGCGAGCGUUGUCCGGAAUUAUUGGGCGUAAAGAGCUCGUAGGCGGUGUGUCACGUCGUUCGUGAAAACCUGCAGCUUAACUGUGGGCGUGCGGUCGAUACGGGCAGACUAGAGGUAUGCAGGGGAGAACGGAAUUCCUGGUGUAGCGGUGAAAUGCGCAGAUAUCAGGAGGAACACCGGUGGCGAAGGCGGUUCUCUGGGACGUCACUGACGCUGAGGCGCGAAAGCGUGGGGAGCGAACAGG